rnacentral:rRNA from 1 species
UACAGAGGUCCCAAGCGUUGUUCGGAUUCACUGGGCGUAAAGGGUGCGUAGGUGGCUUGGUAAGUUUGAUGUGAAAUCUCCGGGCUUAACCCGGAAAUGGCAUUGAAUACUAUUGAGCUGGAGGUUUGGAGGGGGGACUGGAAUUCUCGGUGUAGCAGUGAAAUGCGUAGAUAUGUGGAGGAACACCGAUGGCGAAGGCAGCCCCCUGGGCUAACACUGACGCCUCAUGCACGAAAGCGUGGGGAGCAAACAGG